rnacentral:rRNA from 1 species
CCUACGGGGGGCAGCAGUGGGGAAUUUUGCGCAAUGGACGAAAGUCUGACGCAGCAACGCCGCGUGGGUGAUGAAGGUCUUCGGAUUGUAAAACCCUGUCGUCAGGGACGAAGGUUGGGGCCUUAAUACGGUUUCAACUUGACGGUACCUGGAGAGGAAGCCCCGGCUAACUCUGUGCCAGCAGCCGCGGUAAUACAGAGGGGGCAAGCGUUAUUCGGAAUUACUGGGCGUAAAGGGCGCGUAGGCGGUUCUUUAAGUCGGAUGUGCAAUCCCCG